GUCGAGCGGACAGAAGGGAGCUUGCUCCCGGAUGUUAGCGGCGGACGGGUGAGUAACACGUGGGUAACCUGCCUGUAAGACUGGGAUAACUCCGGGAAACCGGAGCUAAUACCGGAUAGUUCCUUGAACCGCAUGGUUCAAGGAUGAAAGACGGUUUCGGCUGUCACUUACAGAUGGACCCGCGGCGCAUUAGCUAGUUGGUGGGGUAAUGGCUCACCAAGGCGACGAUGCGUAGCCGACCUGAGAGGGUGAUCGGCCACACUGGGACUGAGACACGGCCCAGACUCCUACGGGAGGCAGCAGUAGGGAAUCUUCCGCAAUGGACGAAAGUCUGACGGAGCAACGCCGCGUGAGUGAUGAAGGUUUUCGGAUCGUAAAGCUCUGUUGUUAGGGAAGAACAAGUGCGAGAGUAACUGCUCGCACCUUGACGGUACCUAACCAGAAAGCCACGGCUAACUACGUGCCAGCAGCCGCGGUAAUACGUAGGUGGCAAGCGUUGUCCGGAAUUAUUGGGCGUAAAGGGCUCGCAGGCGGUUUCUUAAGUCUGAUGUGAAAGCCCCCGGCUCAACCGGGGAGGGUCAUUGGAAACUGGGAAACUUGAGUGCAGAAGAGGAGAGUGGAAUUCCACGUGUAGCGGUGAAAUGCGUAGAGAUGUGGAGGAACACCAGUGGCGAAGGCGACUCUCUGGUCUGUAACUGACGCUGAGGAGCGAAAGCGUGGGGAGCGAACAGGAUUAGAUACCCUGGUAGUCCACGCCGUAAACGAUGAGUGCUAAGUGUUAGGGGGUUUCCGCCCCUUAGUGCUGCAGCUAACGCAUUAAGCACUCCGCCUGGGGAGUACGGUCGCAAGACUGAAACUCAAAGGAAUUGACGGGGGCCCGCACAAGCGGUGGAGCAUGUGGUUUAAUUCGAAGCAACGCGAAGAACCUUACCAGGUCUUGACAUCCUCUGACAACCCUAGAGAUAGGGCUUUCCCUUCGGGGACAGAGUGACAGGUGGUGCAUGGUUGUCGUCAGCUCGUGUCGUGAGAUGUUGGGUUAAGUCCCGCAACGAGCGCAACCCUUGAUCUUAGUUGCCA
rnacentral:rRNA from 1 species